rnacentral:tRNA from 1 species
CAGGGUAAAGCUAGCAGAGUGUAGCACUUCCCUUACACCGAAGAGAAACCCGUGCAACUCGGGUUGCCCUGA